rnacentral:snoRNA from 1 species
UAGAAGCAAUGAGCUGCUUUAAAAGAAAAAAAAAGGGGGGUGACCCUGUGCAUUCCUACAGUGCUUGCUAGAACAUUUUGGAACGGUUUGAGGCCUUGCCCUGCUGCAUCCGGAGCAAGGUUAUAGAAAUUUCAGACAGUC